rnacentral:rRNA from 1 species
AUUCCCCUAGUAACGGCGAGUGAAGCGGGAAGAGCUCAAAUUUGAAAUCUGGUGGCCUCAGGUCAUCCGAGUUGUAAUCUAUAGAAGUGUUUUCCGUGCUGGCUCAUGUACAAGUCCCUUGGAACAGGGCGUCAUAGAGGGUGAGAAUCCCGUCCUUGACAUGAACUACCAGUGCUCUGUGAUACAUUUUCAACGAGUCGAGUUGUUUGGGAAUGCAGCUCAAAAUGGGUGGUAAAUUCCAUCUAAAGCUAAAUAUUGGCGAGAGACCGAUAGCGAACAAGUACCGUGAGGGAAAGAUGAAAAGCACUUUGGAAAGAGAGUUAAACAGUAUGUGAAAUUGUUGAAAGGGAAACGAUUGAAGUCAGUCGUGCUCUUUGGAUUCAGCCGGUUCUGCCGGUGUACUUCCUUUGAGUGGGGUCAACAUCAGUUUUGAUCGCUGGAUAAAGGCUGGAGGAACGUAGUACCCUCGGGUAAACUUAUAGCCUCCUGUCACAUACAGUGGUUGGGACUGAGGAACGCAGCACGCCUUUAUGGCCGGGAUUCGUCCACGUACGUGCUUAGGAUGUUGACAUAAUGGCUUUAAACGACCCGUCUUGAAACA